rnacentral:rRNA from 1 species
UACGUAGGCAGCAAGCGUUGUUCGGAAUUACUGGGCGUAAAGAGUGUGUAGGCGGUGUUCUAAGUCUGUUGUUAAAUCUCCCGGCUUAACUGGGAGGGUGCGGCGGAAACUGGAAUGCUAGAGGAUGGGAGAGGUAAGCGGAAUUCCUGGUGUAGCGGUGAAAUGCGUAGAUAUCAGGAGGAACACCUGUGGUGUAGACAGCUUACUGGACCAUUUCUGACGCUGAGACACGAAAGCGUGGGUAGCAAACAGG